GACGAACGCUGGCGGCGUGCCUAACACAUGCAAGUCGAACGGAGUUUCCAGCAAUGGAUUCUUAGUGGCGAACGGGUGAGUAACGCGUAGACAACCUACCUUCGAGAUGGGGACAACACUGCGAAAGAGGUGCUAAUACCGAAUGUUGUAACGAGCAUGCAUAUGCUUUUUACUAAAGAUGGCCUCUAUUUAUAAGCUAUCGAUAGAAGAUGGGUAUGCGUCUGAUUAGCUAGUUGGUGAGGUAACGGCUCACCAAGGCGACGAUCAGUAGCCGGUCUGAGAGGAUGAACGGCCACACUGGGACUGAGACACGGCCCAGACUCCUACGGGAGGCAGCAGUGGGGAAUCUUCCGCAAUGGACGAAAGUCUGACGGAGCAACGCCGCGUGAGUGAAGAAGGUUUUCGGAUCGUAAAACUCUGUUUUCAGGGACGAAUGUGCAGCUUGUAAAUAAUGAGUUGUAAUGACGGUACCUGAGUAGAAAGCCACGGCUAACUACGUGCCAGCCGCCGCGGUAA
rnacentral:rRNA from 1 species